GUGGGGAAUUUUGGACAAUGGGCGCAAGCCUGAUCCAGCAAUGCCGCGUGCAGGAAGAAGGCCUUCGGGUUGUAAACUGCUUUUGUACGGAACGAAACGGUUCUCUCUAAUACAGGGAGCUAAUGACGGUACCGUAAGAAUAAGCACCGGCUAACUACGUGCCAGCAGCCGCGGUAAUACGUAGGGUGCAAGCGUUAAUCGGAAUUACUGGGCGUAAAGCGUGCGCAGGCGGUUUUGUAAGACAGAGGUGAAAUCCCCGGGCUCAACCUGGGAGCUGCCUUUGUGACUGCAAGGCUGGAGUGCGGCAGAGGGGGAUGGAAUUCCGCGUGUAGCAGUGAAAUGCGUAGAUAUGCGGAGGAACACCGAUGGCGAAGGCAAUCCCCUGGGCCUGCACUGACGCUCAUGCACGAAAGCGUGGGGAGCAAACAGGAUUAGAAACCCUGGUAGUCC
rnacentral:rRNA from 1 species